rnacentral:lncRNA from 1 species
GGAGAGGAUAUGCAUUGCACCUUAACUAUUUUCACAGGAUUAUGAAGCAGCUUGCGCUGAAGAUGAAUUGGGAUAAUCAGAACAGGCAUCCCACUGGAUUGAGUUAUUGGAACAUUGCUGCAUCUGACUGAGGCCUCAGGAGGAUUUAUAUCUCCAAGUUUUCCAUCAGAAGAGGAAGAGAUGGGGAAGAAAAGAAGAAAAGACCUUAACUUUGGAAAUGCAAUGGAGUACUGGUGCCCAUGGAGCAUUAGCCUCUUGACAUCAUCAGCACUACUGGAGCUGGAAUAUAGCACUGUCAGGUCACAGAGGCUGACAUAUAUAAUUACACAAGACCACUACCACUGGAAGAGAGUUAUGUUCUGCUUUUCUUUCUGGUUUGGCUUUCAAAAAAACAAAAAAAGGUUGGUAAGAUUUCUCUCAGAGUCUGUGGAUUUGCUGCUUCCCCCACUAUUUUCACCCUGUGUGAAGAUGAAGAUCCUGAUGCUGUUUGAUCAUGGACACACUGGACUCUGCAGGGCAUGUAUCAGGAGGUGAGCCAAAGGCAAGAAAAAGGAUCAACAGAGGAAUGUUGAUCCACCAUAACCACGGUAGAGUCCAUCAGGCCAAACCACACCUCCUAAGGAAGGAUUCUGGAUGUGCAAACACGUGAAAGCAGUAUGGAGAAAUAAGAGACAGUUUGCUGAGUAAAACCCUUGCUCUUGAGAAUCCCAAAUCUGCUAUAUGCUCAUGAAGUUUGACCAGCUCUAAUUUAGGCCCAUGAACUGCACAACCACUAGGCACAGCAGCACAUACCAGUGAGACACAGAGUACAGAAAUGGCUCAGUUACACUUGAGGCAAAUCAAGUUUGCAAGUUCCAACACUGUUCAGUGAUGUGAAACAAGGGAUGCUGUGUGGAUGCAUUUGGGAAUGCACUUCUGAUCCAAAUGAAAAUGCUGAUUUAGACCAUGUGAACUCUCUUUUCUUCAGCCCAAGGGCAAAAGCUGCUCAGUUUGAGAUAUUUUCAAAGUACUUUCUUGAGAGUAAGGCCGUAUAAAUUGUCAUCAAUCCUAGUAACUAUUCCUUUGCCCUUUUACUCAUGUUGGCCUGCUUUUUACCUUUUCUUUCUGCUGUAUAUCUCCCAUUCAUAAAAAUGUUACAUGAUAGGGAUUGAUGUCCUUCUCUAACUAAACAAUAUUCUCAGUUACUGUGGCAAAAAAUAACACUGCUGAAUUAUGUAUCAAGUAGUACAGAAAACAGUUCUGUCAAAAAAAAUAAAACUAGCUAUCUUAGAAAAUAUUUAAAUGAG